UACCAGACUCCUACGGGAGGCAGCAGUGGGGAAUCUUCCGCAAUGGGCGAAAGCCUGACGGAGCAACGCCGCGUGAUCGAAUGAAGGCCUUCGGGUUGUAAAGAUCUGUUGACAGGGACGAAUAAGCAAUGCGAAUAGUUUUGUGUAUGACGGUACCUGUUUAGAAAGCUCCGGCUAACUACGUGCCAGCAGCCGCGGUAAUACGGAGGGUGCGAGCGUUAAUCGGAAUCACUGGGCGUAAAGCGCGCGUAGGCGGCUUUUCAAGUCAGGGGUGAAAUCCCACGGCCCAACCGUGGAACUGCCUUUGAAACUGUAGAGCUUGAGUGUCGGAGAGGGUGGCGGAAUUCCAGGUGUAGGAGUGAAAUCCGUAGAUAUCUGGAGGAACACCGGUGGCGAAGGCGGCCACCUGGACGACAACUGACGCUGAGGUGCGAAAGCGUGGGUAGCAAACAGGAUUAGAUACCCCAGUAA
rnacentral:rRNA from 1 species